CAACUAUAUCCUGAAAAUGAAAUGCCAUAUGGAAAAUAUUAUAAUAUUUGGUAUUUAGGAAAGGAAAAACUUAUGGAUUCAAAUGUUUAAAGUACAAAAAAAAGAUAGGAACAGGGAAUUCCAGUUUGCGUCAGAAAACAUUAUUAGGGGAGACCGGGGAUAGUGUUAUCCCGGGGCAGAUUCUUCAAUGAUUCUAAAAAUGUUUCGCAGAAAUAUGCUCAAGAAAAGGUCCUAAAUGCAUAUUUAAAUUUUAAUUUAAUAAAAAUUUUUUAUAAAAGUUACACAGACUAAUAAAUAUCAAUUCUAAA